rnacentral:rRNA from 1 species
AGUGAACGCUGGCGGUAGGCCUAACACAUGCAAGUCGAACGGCAGCACAGUAAGAGCUUGCUCUUACGGGUGGCGAGUGGCGGACGGGUGAGGAAUACAUCGGAAUCUACUUUUUCGUGGGGGAUAACGUAGGGAAACUUACGCUAAUACCGCAUACGACCUACGGGUGAAAGCAGGGGAUCUUCGGACCUUGCGCGAUUGAAUGAGCCGAUGUCGGAUUAGCUAGUUGGCGGGGUAAAGGCCCACCAAGGCGACGAUCCGUAGCUGGUCUGAGAGGAUGAGCACCGACACUGUAGAUCUGACACACGCCCCAGACUCCUACGGGGCGCCGGAGUGGAGUAUAUGAGAAUAUGGGCGAACGCCUGCCCCCGCUACCCCGCGUGUGUAGAGAACGCCUUCGGUUUGAAACCCCCUUUUGGGGAGAGAGAAACAGCACGGUUUUAUACCCCGGUGCUCUGACGAUCCAAAGAGUAUGCGCCCCGUCUCUCCUUG